rnacentral:rRNA from 1 species
AAACCAGCACCUCAAGUGGUCAGGAUGAUUAUUGGGCCUAAAGCAUCCGUAGCCGGCUCUGUAAGUUUUCGGUUAAAUCUGUACGCUUAACGUACAGGCUGCUGGGAAUACUGCAAAGCUAGGGAGUGGGAGAGGUAGACGGUACUCGGGAGGAAGGGGUAAAAUCCUUUGAUCUCUCGAUGACCACCUGUGGCGAAGGCGGUCUACCAGAACACGUCCGACGGUGAGGGAUGAAAGCUGGGGGAGCAAACCGGAUUAGAAACCCCAGUAGUCC